AGAGUUUGAUCAUGGCUCAGAACGAACGCUGGCGGCGUGGAUAAGACAUGCAAGUCGAGCGCUGAUUUCGGGGUAGCAAUAUUCCGGAGUUGGAGCGGCGCAAGGGUGCGUAACACGUGGGUAAUCUGCCGUGAAGUUUGGAAUAACUUGCUGAAAGGCGAGCUAAUACCGGAUGUGAAAAUUGGGAGGCCUCUCCUGGUUUUUAAAGUUGGGGACCGUAAGGCCUGACGCUUCAUGAUGAGCCCGCGGCCUAUCAGCUAGUUGGUGAGGUAAUGGCUCACCAAGGCUAAGACGGGUAGCUGGUCUGAGAGGACGACCAGCCACACUGGAACUGAGACACGGUCCAGACACCUACGGGUGGCAGCAGUCGAGAAUUUUUCACAAUGGGCGCAAGCCUGAUGGAGCGACGCCGCGUGGGGGAUGAAUGGCUUCGGCCCGUAAACCCCUGUCAUUUGCGAUCAAACCUCGCUAUUUAAAAGAUGACGAGCUGAUAGUAGCGAAAGAGGAAGGGACGGCUAACUCUGUGCCAGCAGCCGCGGUAAUACAGAGGUCCCAAGCGUUGUUCGGAUUCACUGGGCGUAAAGGGUGCGUAGGUGGCGAAGUAAGUCGGAUGUGAAAUCUCGGAGCUCAACUCCGAAACUGCAUUGGAAACUACUUUGCUCGAGGGUCGGAGGGGGGACUGGAAUUCUCGGUGUAGCAGUGAAAUGCGUAGAUAUCGAGAGGAACACCAGUGGCGAAGGCGAGUCCCUGGACGACUCCUGACACUGAGGCACGAAAGCUAGGGGAGCAAACAGGAUUAGAUACCCUAGUAGUCC
rnacentral:rRNA from 1 species